AGAUCGAGAGCAGGGAGCAUGUGUUGAAUCUCAAAGACACAACAAGAGGUAUUCUAAAACUCUAGGUCCAUUACCCUAUCCCAACAUAUGGUACUUCUAUGAAGAUUUAUCAAAACAGAGUAAUCCAUAUGAAAGGAUAUCAAUGUGUAUAAAGGACAUGAGACUGGACUUAAUGAGAUCUAUAGCUGGGAAUGUUCAAGCCACAGAAAAAAUGAAGAAAAAGAUGCAUUACAUCCAAGAACUGAUCACAACACAGCAGUCAGUAACCCAGUAUCUGGCAGACUUCUCCUCCCCCAUGGAUGUGAAAUGAAAGAGAUAGAGUUCUGUCUUUCAGUCUGACAAAAUAGAAACUGUUAAAAUCAUACAAGCAGAAGAUUGAGAAUGAAUGAAGAAGUUAAUGUUCAUAUAAUGUUCAUAUGAAAGACUUGUUGUUUAGUAUUUCUAAUGAGAGAUUGUUCAAUUACUUGUGCUUUACUUUUGAUUCAUCAAAAUCUUAUUUGUAUUUAGAGAAUUUUUUUAUACUAUGUUAAACCUUUUUCAAAUUGGUUGUUUG